rnacentral:rRNA from 1 species
AGAGUUUGAUCAUGGCUCAGAUUGAACGCUGGCGGCAGGCCUAACACAUGCAAGUCGAACGGUAACAGGAAACAGCUUGCUGUUUCGCUGACGAGUGGCGGACGGGUGAGUAAUGUCUGGGAAACUGCCUGAUGGAGGGGGAUAACUACUGGAAACGGUAGCUAAUACCGCAUAAUGUCGCAAGACCAAAGAGGGGGACCUUCGGGCCUCUUGCCAUCGGAUGUGCCCAGAUGGGAUUAGCUAGUAGGUGGGGUAAAGGCUCACCUAGGCGACGAUCCCUAGCUGGUCUGAGAGGAUGACCAGCCACACUGGAACUGAGACACGGUCCAGACUCCUACGGGAGGCAGCAGUGGGGAAUAUUGCACAAUGGGCGCAAGCCUGAUGCAGCCAUGCCGCGUGUAUGAAGAAGGCCUUCGGGUUGUAAAGUACUUUCAGCGGGGAGGAAGGGAGUAAAGUUAAUACCUUUGCUCAUUGACGUUACCCGCAGAAGAAGCACCGGCUAACUCCGUGCCAGCAGCCGCGGUAAUACGGAGGGUGCAAGCGUUAAUCGGAAUUACUGGGCGUAAAGCGCACGCAGGCGGUUUGUUAAGUCAGAUGUGAAAUCCCCGGGCUCAACCUGGGAACUGCAUCUGAUACUGGCAAGCUUGAGUCUCGUAGAGGGGGUAGAAUUCCAGGUGUAGCGGUGAAAUGCGUAGAGAUCUGGAGGAAUACCGGUGGCGAAGGCGGCCCCCUGGACGAAGACUGACGCUCAGGUGCGAAAGCGUGGGGAGCAAACAGGAUUAGAUACCCUGGUAGUCCACGCCGUAAACGAUGUCGACUUGGAGGUUGUGCCCUUGAGGCGUGGCUUCCGGAGCUAACGCGUUAAGUCGACCGCCUGGGGAGUACGGCCGCAAGGUUAAAACUCAAAUGAAUUGACGGGGGCCCGCACAAGCGGUGGAGCAUGUGGUUUAAUUCGAUGCAACGCGAAGAACCUUACCUGGUCUUGACAUCCACGGAAGUUUUCAGAGAUGAGAAUGUGCCUUCGGGAGCCGUGAGACAGGUGCUGCAUGGCUGUCGUCAGCUCGUGUUGUGAAAUGUUGGGUUAAGUCCCGCAACGAGCGCAACCCUUAUCCUUUGUUGCCAGCGGUCCGGCCGGGAACUCAAAGGAGACUGCCAGUGAUAAACUGGAGGAAGGUGGGGAUGACGUCAAGUCAUCAUGGCCCUUACGACCAGGGCUACACACGUGCUACAAUGGCGCAUACAAAGAGAAGCGACCUCGCGAGAGCAAGCGGACCUCAUAAAGUGCGUCGUAGUCCGGAUUGGAGUCUGCAACUCGACUCCAUGAAGUCGGAAUCGCUAGUAAUCGUGGAUCAGAAUGCCACGGUGAAUACGUUCCCGGGCCUUGUACACACCGCCCGUCACACCAUGGGAGUGGGUUGCAAAAAGAAGUAGGUAGCUUAACCUUCGGGAGGGCGCUUACCACUUUGUGAUUCAUGACUGGGGUGAAGUCGUAACAAGGUAACCGUAGGGGAACCUGCGGUUGGAUCACCU